rnacentral:rRNA from 1 species
AAGAAAAAAUUUAUUUAAAUUUUAAAUUUGGGUUUUUAUAGAUAAAAUAUUUUAAUUUAGAUUAUUUUUAAAGAAAUAAUUAAUAUUAUUAUAGUGUAAAGUAUAGAAAUAGAAUAAAAAUUUUUAUUUUAAAGAAAAAUUUAUUUUUUGUACCUUGUGUAUCAGGGUUUAUUAAUUAAAAAUUAAUAAUUUAAUAUUUUCGAAUUUAAAAGAUUUAAAUAAUUAUUAUUAUUAAUGUAUUAUAAUUAUAUUUAAUAAUUAUUUUGUAAUGAAAUGUUAUUCGUUUUUAAAUAUAUCUAAUUUUUUAAGAAAAAAAUUUAAUUUUAGUUUUAUUUAAUAAAAUUUUAAUUUUUUAAUGUUUUAUUUAAUAAAAUUUAAUAUUUUUAGGGAUGAGCUUAAAAAUAUAUUUUUAUUAAAAAUAAAAAAAUUUUAAAAAAUUAGGAUUAGUAAUUUUCAAAUUUUUAAGUAUGUUAUUAUUUAUUAUAAUUUAUUUUUAAUUUUUAUUUUUUAUAAAUUUUUUAUUAAAAUAUAAGUUAAAAUUUUUUUAACUUAGUAGUAAUGAUAAAAUUAGUAUAAUUAUUUUUAUAUUUAUAAAAAUUUUUAAGAUUAAAUAAAGGAAUUCGGCAAAUAAUUUUUUCACCUGUUUAUUAAAAACAUGUCUUUUUGUUUUAUAUUUAAGGUUUAACCUGCCCCCUGAAAGAUUUAAAUGGCCGCGGUAUUUUGACCGUGCUAAGGUAGCAUAAUCAUUAGUUUUUUAAUUGAAAACUGGAAUGAAGGGUUGGAUGAAAAAAAAUCUGUCUUUGUUUAAAUAAAUAGAAUUUUAUUUUUAAGUUAAAAAGCUUAAAUUAUAUUAAAAGACGAGAAGACCCUAUAGAGUUUUAUAAUAAAAAUUUAAUUUUUAUAAAGUAUUAAGUUAAUUAUUAAAGUAUUAUUAUUUAAUUGGGGUGAUUAAAAAAUUUAAUUAACUUUUUUUAUAUUUUUAUAUUAAUUUAUAAAUAUUUGAUCCAUUUAUAUGAUUAAAAGAUUAAAUUACCUUAGGGAUAACAGCGUAAUUUUAUUGGAGAGUUCAAAUCGAUAAUAAAGAUUGCGACCUCGAUGUUGGAUUAAAAUUUAUUUUGGGUGUAGAAGUUCAAAAAUUGAGUCUGUUCGACUUUUAAAAUUUUACAUGAUCUGAGUUUAAACCGGUGUGAGCCAGGUUGGUUUCUAUCUUUAGUUUAUUAAUAUAUUUUAGUACGAAAGGACCAAAUAUAUAAAUGAUAUUUUUAUUUUUGAUUAAAAUUA